rnacentral:rRNA from 1 species
UAAUACGUAGGGUGCAAGCGUUAAUCGGAAUUACUGGGCGUAAAGCGUGCGCAGGCGGCUUUGCAAGACAGAUGUGAAAUCCCCGGGCUUAACCUGGGAACUGCAUUUGUGACUGCAUGGCUGGAGUGCGGCAGAGGGGGAUGGAAUUCCGCGUGUAGCAGUGAAAUGCGUAGAUAUGCGGAGGAACACCGAUGGCGAAGGCAAUCCCCUGGGCCUGCACUGACGCUCAUGCACGAAAGCGUGGGGAGCAAACAGGAUUAGAUACCCUGGUAGUCCACGCCCUAAACGAUGUCAACUGGUUGUUGGACGGCUUGCUGUUCAGUAACGAAGCUAACGCGUGAAGUUGACCGCCUGGGGAGUACGGCCGCAAGGUU